CCCUUAGAUGUUCUGGGCCGCACGCGCGCUACACUGAUGCAUUCAACGAGUCUAAAACCUGCUCUGAUAGGGGUGGGUAAUCUUUUGAAUGUGCAUCGUGAUUGGGAUAGAUGAUUGCAAUUUUUCAUCUUCAACGAGGAAUGCCUAGUAAACGCAAGUCAUCAGCUUGCAUUGAUUACGUCCCUGCCCUUUGUACACACCGCCCGUCGCUCCUACCGAUUGAACGAUCCGGUGAAUUAUUUGGAGUAGCUCUGGAAGUUGCAGAACUUCCUAUGUCACGAAAUUUUGUAAACCUUAUCGUUUAGAGGAAGGAAAAGUCGUAACA
rnacentral:rRNA from 1 species